ACUGCCGGUGUUAAACCGGAGGAAGGUGGGGAUGACGUCAAGUCCUCAUGGCCUUUAUGCCCAGGGCUACACACGUGCUACAAUGGGGUCGGACAGUGGGAUGCAAAGCCGCGAGGUGGAGCCAAUCCCCAAACGGCCUCUCAGUUCGGAUAGUAGUCUGCAACUCGACUACUUGAAGUCGGAAUCGCUAGUAAUGGCGGAUCAGCAUGCCGCCGUGAAUACCGGUUCCCGGGUCUU
rnacentral:rRNA from 1 species